AAAUUGAAGAGUUUGAUCAUGGCUCAGAUUGAACGCUGGCGGCAGGCCUAACACAUGCAAGUCGAACGGUAACAGGAAGCGCUUGCUGCUUCGCUGACGAGUGGCGGACGGGUGAGUAAUGUCUGGGAAACUGCCUGAUGGAGGGGGAUAACUACUGGAAACGGUAGCUAAUACCGCAUAACGUCGCAAGACCAAAGAGGGGGACCUUCGGGCCUCUUGCCAUCGGAUGUGCCCAGAUGGGAUUAGCUUGUUGGUGGGGUAACGGCUCACCAAGGCGACGAUCCCUAGCUGGUCUGAGAGGAUGACCAGCCACACUGGAACUGAGACACGGUCCAGACUCCUACGGGAGGCAGCAGUGGGGAAUAUUGCACAAUGGGCGCAAGCCUGAUGCAGCCAUGCCGCGUGUAUGAAGAAGGCCUUCGGGUUGUA
rnacentral:rRNA from 1 species